rnacentral:rRNA from 1 species
UACAGAGGGUGCGAGCGUUGUUCGGAAUUAUUGGGCGUAAAGGGCGCGUAGGCGGUGCGGUAAGUCACCUGUGAAACCUCUGGGCUUAACUCAGAGCCUGCAGGCGAAACUACCGUGCUGGAGUGUGGGAGAGGUGCGUGGAAUUCCCGGUGUAGCGGUGAAAUGCGUAGAUAUCAGGAGGAACACCGGUGGCGAAGGCGGGUCUCUGGGCCGUAACUGACGCUGAGGAGCGAAAGCGUGGGGAGCGAACAGG